rnacentral:rRNA from 1 species
AAUUCGAAGCAACGCGAAGAACCUUACCAGGUCUUGACAUCCUCUGACAACCCUAGAGAUAGGGCUUCCCCUUCGGGGGCAGAGUGACAGGUGGUGCAUGGUUGUCGUCAGCUCGUGUCGUGAGAUGUUGGGUUAAGUCCCGCAACGAGCGCAACCCUUGAUCUUAGUUGCCAGCAUUCAGUUGGGCACUCUAAGGUGACUGCCGGUGACAAACCGGAGGAAGGUGGGGAUGACGUCAAAUCAUCAUGCCCCUUAUGACCUGGGCUACACACGUGCUACAAUGGGCAGAACAAAGGGCAGCGAAGCCGCGAGGCUAAGCCAAUCCCACAAAUCUGUUCUCAGUUCGGAUCGCAGUCUGCAACUCGACUGCGUGAAGCUGGAAUCGCUAGUAAUCGCGGAUCAGCAUGCCGCGGUGAAUACGUUCCCGGGCCUUGUACACACCGCCCGUCACACCACGAGAGUUUGUAACACCCGAAGUCGGUGAGGUAACCUUUUGGAGCCAGCCGCCGAAG